UGAGGAAUAUUGGUCAAUGGACGAGAGUCUGAACCAGCCAAGUAGCGUGCAGGAUGACGGCCCUAUGGGUUGUAAACUGCUUUUGUUUGGGAAUAAUCGACAUUACGUGUAAUGUUUUGCAUGUACCAUACGAAUAAGGACCGGCUAAUUACGUGCCAGCAGCCGCGGUAAUACGUAAGGUCCGAGCGUUGUCCGGAAUCAUUGGGCGUAAAGGGUACGUAGGCGGGUAAGCAAGUUAGAAGUGAAAUCCUGUAGCUCAACUACAGUAAGCUUUUAAAACUGCUCAUCUUGAGAUAUGGAAGGGAAAGUGGAAUUCCUAGUGUAGCGGUGAAAUGCGCAGAUAUUAGGAGGAAUACCGGUGGCGAAGGCGACUUUCUGGCCAUAAUCUGACGCUGAGGUACGAAAGCGUGGGUAGCAAACAGG
rnacentral:rRNA from 1 species